rnacentral:rRNA from 1 species
UGGGGAAUUUUGGACAAUGGGCGAAAGCCUGAUCCAGCAAUGCCGCGUGUGUGAAGAAGGCCUUCGGGUUGUAAAGCACUUUUGUCCGGAAAGAAAUCCUUGGCUCUAAUACAGUCGGGGGAUGACGGUACCGGAAGAAUAAGCACCGGCUAACUACGUGCCAGCAGCCGCGGUAAUACGUAGGGUGCAAGCGUUAAUCGGAAUUACUGGGCGUAAAGCGUGCGCAGGCGGUUUGCUAAGACCGAUGUGAAAUCCCCGGGCUAACCUGGGAACUGCAUUGGUGACUGGCAGGCUAGAGUAUGGCAGAGGGGGGUAGAAUUCCACGUGUAGCAGUGAAAUGCGUAGAGAUGUGGAGGAAUACCGAUGGCGAAGGCAGCCCCCUGGGCCAAUACUGACGCUCAUGCACGAAAGCGUGGGGAGCAAACAGGAUUAGAUACCCUGGUAGUCCACGCCCUAAACGAUGUCAACUAGUUGUUGGGGAUUCAUUUCCUUAGUAACGUAGCUAACGCGUGAAGUUGACCGCCUGGGGAGUACGGUCGCAAGAUUAAAACUUAAAGGAAUUGACGGGGUCAUAGCUGUUUCCU